CUUCAUUCAGAACUCUGCAUGCUGCCAUGUCACUGGAGCAUCCUGCGACUUCAAGUGAGCUAUGUCUUCCAUGAGACCUAUUAGAUGUGCUCACACUGAUUCCCUACGAGACAGAUGAGAGAGACGAGCUCAGAAAGAAAUAGCCUGAAAGCAGACGAUGCAGGAUUUAUCCCGGAGCUCGAUCCCUGCUGGCUGGACCAGCUUGGAGUCACAUAUGAGACUGGGCACGUCAUUCUCUCAGGUGAUAAAUUCCUGCUUUCAGCUAUGGAAAGACAACAUUACAAGUUUCGCAAUUUAAGACGUAAACCAGCAAAGAAGAAUGCAAAUAGCAAAGUGUGAUAAUUUUCUUUGCAGAUACCCAAGCCCGAGACAACCCUUUUGAAGACAUAUGAUGUUGAAGACAUAAGAAUCCUUUUCACCUUGAGCACUCGCAAUGUUGUGAAAGAGAGACCAAGAAUCUCCUGCGUCUAUGGCUCUAGGGAGAAAGGUCAGAUAACAGAAGAUGAGAAAACCAAGGCUCUGAGAGGGGCAGGACCUUGUACCAUAUUACAAGGAUGGUUUUGGACUUGGAGCCUUUAAAAGAUCUCAAUAUUGCUUAUUUUAAAGGAUUACAAUGGCACUCUGUAACAGAUCUAAGAACAAACAUAGAGUCACCAAAAGCUGCUGUAGAAUGACUUACAAGCUACCUAAAACAGGAGUGAAAAAUAAAAGUGAAAGUGGAGAAGGUUUACAAGAGAUAAUAUGCUUGUGGCUCUUUU
rnacentral:lncRNA from 1 species